rnacentral:rRNA from 1 species
AACGAACGCUGGCGGCAGGCCUAACACAUGCAAGUCGAACGAGAUCUUCGGAUCUAGUGGCGGACGGGUGAGUAACGCGUGAGAAUCUGCCUGUGGGUCGGGGACAACCACUGGAAACGGUGACUAAUACCGGAUGAGCCGAAAGGUAAAAGAUUUAUUGCCCACAGAUGAGCUCGCGUCUGAUUAGCUAGUUGGUAAGGUAAAAGCGUACCAAGGCGACGAUCAGUAGCUGGUCUGAGAGGAUGAGCAGCCACACUGGGACUGAGACACGGCCCAGACUCCUACGGGAGGCAGCAGUAGGGAAUAUUGGGCAAUGGGCGAAAGCCUGACCCAGCCAUGCCGCGUGAGGGAUGACCGCCCACUGGGUCGUAAACCUCUUUUCUCAAGGAAUAACAGGUUAGUAACUUCUAGCAAAAUGAAGUACUUGAGGAAUAAGCACCGGCAAACUACGU